rnacentral:tRNA from 1 species
UUCUUAUAUUUUAAAAAAAAUAAUGAUUUUGUAAAUCAAAAAUGCUUUACAGCUAAGAACUU